rnacentral:rRNA from 1 species
AAAUAAUUUGGUUUUGGUUAUAUUUGUUAAUUAUUGCUUAAUAAUACAUGUUAGAUUUUAUUUAAUUAGUUCGGUUUCCUGUAUGCUUAUUGAUUUACUGUUUAAUAUUUUAAUAGAAAUAAGUUAUAAUAGUUAGUAUAUUUAUUAAUAUUAUUAUUUUAUUGGUACUCAGUAUUUAAAAUUAUACAAUGAAUGAAAGUUUUAUAUAGAUAUUGUGAGUGAGGACUGGUAAAUAUUUGUGCCAGCAACUGCGGUUAUACAAGUAGUUCAAAUUAAAAAUUUAUAGUAGAAGGUAAAGUUUGAUGAUUGACGAGUAUACAUGUAUAUUUAUUGGUUUUAUACCUUAAAUGUGUUUAUAUGCGCGUAUAUAUGUGUAUAGGAAAAUUUAUUUUAUAUAAAUAAGUAAAAUUUAUUAUUAUUUUGAAUUCUAUAUUUUUCUGUAAAAUUUAUUCUUUGAAGAUUUGAAUAUAAACUAGGAUUAGAUACCCUAUUAUUUCAUUAUUGUAAAAAUUGACUUUUAGCUCUACUAAGGUAUUAAGAAUUAUAAAAGUUAUUUAUUUGUUUAAAACUUAAAAGAUUUGGCGGUUUCACAUAUCCAUUUAGGGGAGCUUGUUAAUAUAAUAUGAUAUUCCUCGAUUUAGACUUACUUUUUUUUGAAAAAUUCAGUUUGUGUAUUGCUGUCGUUAGUUUAUGUUUAAAGAAUUGUGUGUAAAAAACUUUAAAAUUAAUGGGUUUAUAUGUCAAGUCAAAAUGCAGCUAAUAAAAAAGGAUUAAUGAGCUACUUUUUAUAAAUUUAAUUUCCGGUUUAAAAAAUUUAAUUGUUUUAGAAAGGUGGACUUAAUAGUAAUGGGUAGAUUAGUUGGCUUUUGUGAAUACAUGGUUUUGUGAAGUGUACAUAUCGCCCGUCGCUCUUGUUGCCAGAUAAGAUAAGUCGUAACAUAGUAAGGGUAAUGGAAGUUGUUCUUGGGGUGUU